rnacentral:rRNA from 1 species
UACGGAGGGUGCGAGCGUUAUCCGGAAUUACUGGGUUUAAAGGGUGCGUAGGCGGCUUGUUAAGUCAGGAGUGAAAGUUUGCGGCUCAACCGUAAAAUUGCUUUUGAUACUGGCAGGCUAGAAUUAGGAUGAGGUUAGCGGAAUGUGGCAUGUAGCGGUGAAAUGCAUAGAUAUGCCAUAGAACACCAAUUGCGAAGGCAGCAGGCUAGACCUAUAUUGACGCUGAGGCACGAAAGCGUGGGGAGCGAACAGG